rnacentral:rRNA from 1 species
UACGAAGGGGGCUAGCGUUGCUCGGAAUCACUGGGCGUAAAGCGCACGUAGGCGGGUCUUUAAGUCAGGGGUGAAAUCCUGGAGCUCAACUCCAGAACUGCCUUUGAUACUGAGGAUCUUGAGUUCGGGAGAGGUGAGUGGAACUGCGGGUGUAGAGGUGAAAUUCGUAGAUAUUCGCAAGAACACCAGUGGCGAAGGCGGCUCACUGGCCCGAUACUGACGCUGAGGCACGAAAGCGUGGGGAGCAAACAGG